GCCAGCCUCACCCAGCCCGUCUGAAAUCACCCUCCGGGCAUCCAGACACGUAGUCGCACCGAUGUCUGCUCUGGGCUUCUAACUUUGCUCUUAAAGACAUCAAAGGUCUGAUUCAGAAGAAGUAUAUUUGGCUUUUAAUCUGGCUGCAGAAACAGAAGGAAGUCAUUUUUUCAAGGAAUGUGCAACUUUGCAUAGAAAUCAGAGAUGCCUUUUUCUCAUGAAUCACACCACACAACAGGUAUCGUCCUUGAGCGUCUGGGGGAAGGAGUUCUACACUGCAGUGAAAUGGGCCCAGAUCCAGGAAAGGCUGGAGAGGAUCAGAGAUGGGAUUUUGAGAUUGCCAGACAUUUUUAAAGAUCUACCCUUGAAGACCUAAAAAUAUGAUGGUUCUUAGAUCAGAAGAUUGAAGAAGGAGAUUGAUCAAAUAUGGCAGAAAGAAGACAUUGAUUCCUUCUUAGUGGCAUAGUGUUUUGGUUGCUGGUUGCUUUAGGAAUCAUCCAGCUAUGCCUAUCAUAUAAUAUAAUGGAGAAUAUAUCUAAUAAUAAGUCUGAUAAACUCAAUCUGUCAGUAGCUAAGUGAUACUAAAACCAUAAAAUAUGGACUAAUUUUAAAACAUAGAAAUGUCCUCUUUAUUUCCUAUGUAAGAGUGGUAAAUUAAGGGUUAGGUAUGGAUAAUGUUACUUGCCUACUUCCAAGGUUGCUUCAAUAAUACUUUAUUAAGAACCAUCUGGUCUUUUUAAUGUUUUAUUAAGGACCAUCUGACUGCUGCAUUGUUCAAGAUAUUGAAUAUUAGGAUUUUAGCAUAAAUAAAGCAAAAGGAAUAGCUAUGAAGACCACAGAUAAGAGCACAAAACAUUAUAUGUAGGUCCUACAUAAACUUAAAAAAAAUCCAAAAAGUAUUUCAAUAUUCCACACCAGAAGAUAAGGAUUUUUGCAAAUAUAAAUUAAAAUUUGGAACCAAACUUCUUGACAGUAUCUCUAAAAAUGAUAAGCUUCUGUCUUACACAUUUAGGAAAUUGCCUUC